rnacentral:rRNA from 1 species
AGAGUUUGAUCCUGGCUCAGGACGAACGCUGGCGGCGUGCCUAAUACAUGCAAGUCGAACGCUUCUUUUCUACCGAGUGCUUGCACUCACUUGAAAAGAGGAGUGGCGGACGGGUGAGUAACACGUGGGUAACCUACCCAUCAGAGGGGGAUAACACUUGGAAACAGGUGCUAAUACCGCAUAAUAGUCGACAUCGCAUGGUGUUGAUUUGAAAGACGCUUUCGGGUGUCACUGAUGGAUGGACCCGCGGUGCAUUAGCUAGUUAGUGAGGUAACGGCUCACCAAGGCCAUGAUGCAUAGCCGACCUGAGAGGGUGAUCGGCCACACUGGGACUGAGACACGGCCCAGACUCCUACGGGAGGCAGCAGUAGGGAAUCUUCGGCAAUGGACGAAAGUCUGACCGAGCAACGCCGCGUGAGUGAAGAAGGUUUUCGGAUCGUAAAACUCUGUUGUUAGAGAAGAACAAGUAGGAGAGUAACUGCUCUUACCUUGACGGUAUCUAACCAGAAAGCCACGGCCAACUACGUGCCAGCAGCCGCGGUAAUACGUAGGUGGGCAAGCGUUGUCCGGAUUUAUUGGGCGUAAAGCGAGCGCAGCGGUUUCUUAAGUCUGAUGUGAAAGCCCCUCGGCUCAACCGGGGAGGGUCAUUGGAAACUGGGAGACUUGAGUGCAGAGAGGAGAGUGGAAUUUCAUGUGUAGCGGUGAAAUGCGUAGAUAUAUGGAGG